AGUUAUAAUGUCAUAGUUAACUGGUUUUGGGAGACUGCACUAUUUCAACCUGYGUUGAGCAUGAAGACAUACAAUAGCUGGAUUUAUGUCACGCACUUGAAGAUGGCUUUGCAUGAGUAUUUUUAGACUGCUGAGUUAUCUCUGACAUCUAUUUGGUUGGGCACAGACACGUGGCCCACAGAGGCCUUGAGGAGCCUCCUCCCCAUCGAUCUUCAUGGCCAGGCUGAAAUUCAGAAGGAACGAACAGCCAGGAAGAUCUUUGGGCUUUUAACACUGCCAUGAAGGUUUCUGCAAUACAGACCAACAUCUGUGGAACAGGAGGCAAGGAGAGGCCGGGGCCGAGGGCGAGCGUCGCCCUGUGGGACCUGCYCUGGACUUGGCUGGGUGCAGGGCUGUGGUCCAAAGCCAGCCAGAGCCAAGUUUGGUUCUAGCGCAAGUGAAUGGGAUGUCAUYGCACUCAAAAUCCCUCCUCGACUCCAGCUGCU